GACGUAGGGCGCGAGCGUUAUCCGGAUUUACUGGGUUUAAAGGGUGCGCAGGCGGAUAUGUAAGUCAGUGGUGAAAUCUCCGGGCUUAACCCGGAAACUGCCGUUGAUACUAUAUAUCUUGAAUGCUGUGGAGGUAAGCAGAAUAUGUCAUGUAGCGGUGAAAUGCUUAGAGAUGACAUAGAAUACCUAUUGCGAAGGCAGCUUACUACGCAGAUAUUGACGCUCAUGCACGAAAGCGUGGGGAUCAAACAGG
rnacentral:rRNA from 1 species